rnacentral:rRNA from 1 species
UACGAAGGGGGCUAGCGUUGCUCGGAAUCACUGGGCGUAAAGCGCACGUAGGCCGAUUGUUAAGUCAGGGGUGAAAUCCUGGAGCUCAACUCCAGAACUGCCCUUGAUACUGACGGUCUCGAGUCCGGGAGAGGUGAGUGGAACUGCGAGUGUAGAGGUGAAAUUCGUAGAUAUUCGCAAGAACACCAGUGGCGAAGGCGGACUCACUG